CCCUGGCUGGUUCUCUGCCUACCUCCAAAUUUUACAGUCCAAAAUCCAGAAUCUGUGUCACAGUCUCCACAGGAGCCAUGUGACCUGGGGCUAUGCCACUCUUGUCACCUACAGAUGCUUUGAAGUAACCUCCUUGGCAUUUCUUCCCUUUGGGUUUGCUUCCACCAUCUCUUGGGUCCUCCAUUUAAAGACAUCUUGCCCCUUCCCCGGGGAGGGACCUAGUGAGUCACUGGUACUUGGGUAUGGGGAGGAUCUGCCUUGCCUGUGGGAUCAGCACUGAGUACCCUAUGGAUCAAGAAUGGGCACAAAAUGAGAAUGUCAGUAAGAUGCCCGAGCCAUCAAGCCUUCCUUUCCUCUCAGCUCCUGCUAUGAUGGGCCCUAUGUUUUUGAGCACAUAAAGGUAUCUCCAUUCUAUAGUUGAAAGACAGUACGGCCUGGGGGUGGGCUGGGACCUGCACAAGAUAUGCCAGAUGGUCCCGUGGGCUGCAUCAGGCUCAGGAAGCCCUAGUUUCCAGGAAUCUGUUAUCUCUGCUAUGCAUAUAAGGAGAUAAGACUUCUCUUUUGUAUCCCAGGGCUAUUCCCAGAUUUUUAAGUCCACUCACCUCCCAGGCAAAAAUGCAAUAUUCUCUGCCUGGAUACCAGAUAGGAGCAAAAUUGAGUUUACAAAUCUAUUACCUGAUGCACCUAUUGCCAGUUAUGCUGUGCUGAUUUGUCUCUGGGUUGACUUAUUUUGUUUUCCUUACUGCCUCUCCCCAAAUGCCCCAAGAGCAGAGCCUCAGCUGUUUUCCUUAUGCAUCUAUCUUUCCCCCAUUGGCAAGUGGCUGAUGAAUUCACAUUUAGGGAAGCACACACACAGAUGGCAGAUGAGUCCCCAACUCUUCCAACCCCCAAUCUGAGCUUUGAUGUAGAACAAAUGGAAAAACACUGUCCAUCCCCAUCCCCAGCACACUUCAUCUGGUCCCUUUGCAUGUCUCAGCCACCCCCAGUUCCCAACUCAGUCCCAUCCGUGUCUAUCUAGUGUGAGCAUCUCCCUUCCAACUCCUGCCUGUUUUUAGUCCACUAUAUAUUGCUGUAUUUGUUAAAUGCUGGAAAGUAACUGUUAAAAUGUGAAACUGUAAUUUUUUUAAAGAAGGCUACAAUUACAUUAUAGCCAUUGCCACUCACCAAAUCUUUGCACCUAGUAGAUAGAUCGAUGUUAAAACAAAUACCAGAAACCUAAUUGUACAGUGAUUGGGGUGGGGGGUGUAGUAACAUAGUUAGUAGUCCUCAAUAUAGCCAAUCGUACAAGGGGAAGUGGUGUCUACCAAUGUUCAUCACCAUUAUUGAAAGCUGUACUGAUCAGUUAGUUUAUAACGGGCAUUUAAAAGAAUUAUUUUGGCUUCAUGGAAUGAUUUCUUAACCUCCAACUUACCCCAAGGUCA
rnacentral:lncRNA from 1 species